GAGAGAGAGAGAGAGAGAGAGAGAGAGAGAAGAGAGAGAGAGAGAGAGGCAUAAUAAUUAAAUAACCAGUUACUCCUUUUUGAGCUAUAUAUCAUCACACUUCCACAUCAAACACAAUCUCUCCCACAGCCCACCACCCUUAAUUCUCUCCUUCAUUCCUUCUCCAAGAGAGAGAGAGAGAGAGAGCACAUGCAUGCUUUUGAUCUUAUGUGUCACUGGGUUUUGAAGGGAAACACUCCUCACCCCAAGAAGUUUUUAAACCCCAUUUUGUUGAAGUCCAAAUAGUGAUGAGAUAAAGAGGAGAAUAGGUCAAAGUUGACCUGAUCUUAUCUACUGCUUCAAAACAGUAUAAAGUUUGGAUCCAGUACUCCAUGUGAUUCUACUGUUUGAACUUUAUGAACCUGGCCAUGGUUAUUUCUGAUCAUACGAGUACUUGAAUUAUAUAUACAUCUACAUAUACAUAUAUAUAU